rnacentral:rRNA from 1 species
UGGGGAAUAUUGCACAAUUGGCGCAAGCCUGAUGCAGCCAUGCCGCGUGUGUGAAGAAGGCCUUCGGGUUGUAAAGCACUUUCAGCGGGGAGGAAGGCGGUGAGGUUAAUAACCUCAUCGAUUGACGUUACCCGCAGAAGAAGCACCGGCUAACUCCGUGCCAGCAGCCGCGGUAAUACGGAGGGUGCAAGCGUUAAUCGGAAUUACUGGGCGUAAAGCGCACGCAGGCGGUCUGUCAAGUCGGAUGUGAAAUCCCCGGGCUCAACCUGGGAACUGCAUUCGAAACUGGCAGGCUAGAGUCUUGUAGAGGGGGGUAGAAUUCCAGGUGUAGCGGUGAAAUGCGUAGAGAUCUGGAGGAAUACCGGUGGCGAAGGCGGCCCCCUGGACAAAGACUGACGCUCAGGUGCGAAAGCGUGGGGAGCAAACAGG